rnacentral:misc_RNA from 1 species
AAUUCUCAACCUCUACCAGCUUUGCUGCUUGGUAUUGGCUUGGAUGUGGGGGGAUUUCUGCAGGCUCUUUCACAGAGUCAGCUCCCCUGAAAUGCAUUAGCGGUGACCUUGAUGGCCAUUGGUGUGAUAACUAUCUACGCCAUUGGAUGUCGCGCUGUUCGCUGCUCCUAACAGUCCAUUGACUUGGACAAAGCAAAUUAUGACAA